rnacentral:rRNA from 1 species
CCUACGGGUGGCAGCAGUGGGGAAUAUUGCGCAAUGGGCGAAAGCCUGACGCAGCGACGCCGCGUGAGGGAUGAAGGCCUUCGGAUUGUAAACCUCCGUUAGCAGGGAAGAACCGUCACUGUGCUAAUCAGCAUUGAAUUUACGGUACCUGUAAAGGAAGCACCGGUCAACUCCGUCCCAGCAGCCGCGGUAAUACGGAGGGGUCGUGCGUUGAUUGGAAUUACUGGGCGUAAAGGGCGCGUAGGCGGGAUGUCAAGUCAAGGGUGAAAUCCCUGCGCUCAACGUGGGCACUGCCUUUGAAACUGGCGAGCUUGAGUGUGUGAGAGGAUAGUGGAAUUCGAGGUGUAGGGGUGAAAUGCGUAGAUAUCUGGAAGAACAUCAGUGGCGAAGGCGACUAGCUGGAGCGGAACUGACGCUGAGGAGCGAAAGCGUGGGUAGCAAACAGGAUUAGAUACCCCAGUAGUC